rnacentral:lncRNA from 1 species
CAAGAAUGAAAACAACAAACUUAAUAAAAUAAAAUAAAAUAACUACAAACAGUAACAUGAAAACAUUUAUCAAAAGAAAAUAAGAAUAAAAUGCUGAAAAAUAGAUAGAGAUAUAUAUAUUAAAAUGUGAAAUUAAGAUGGUCACCAGAGCUUGGAGUCACGCCGGAGUUGGUUUGCGUCGGAUAUGGAGCCACACCGAAACUAGAGUUUGGGGUUGUUGUUUUCCACUGUGUGAGCUCGGGGCUCACUGGUUUUCAGAGCUAAAUAGCUCGCUGGUUAGAGUUCUGGUUCGUCGGCGUUGAUGGAACACCUGCAAAGACAAACAAGAAUCAAAAAUAGAAAAGGGAAAAGGGGAGGGGAUGGAUUGUCCCUGUUGUUUCGGUUUGCUGUUGUUGUGAUGGGUUUUGGGAGAACGAUGAAUCGUUUGGUUGGCUGCUCUGUUGCGUUGGUCGCUGGAAAACAGUUGGGUUUUUGAGGUCGUUUUGGUGUUGGGUUGAUAGUUGCUGGAGCCAAAAACUCGCUGGAGCUCGGGACUGCCGGUUUCAAGUGUUUUUCCGGAGGUUUAGUGGUGGUGGUUGGUUGUUUUCUGGUUGGUUUUUGGUGGAGCUUUGAGGUCUGGUUGGAGAAUCGGGUGGAAUUUGGAUUGUUGGGGUCUGGUUGUUGUUUGUUAGAUCUAGUGGUUUGGGGGUUUAUUGAGGGAGAACGGAGAAGAAAGAACAGGGGGUUGAGGGCUAGUUGUUUGGGGAGAAAGAAAAGUAAAAUGGGUGUUUGGUGGUCAUGGUUGCUGGCCGGAAACGGAAAUGGAAAAGGAAGGGCUGGUGGCAGUGAUUUGUAGCUGCUGGUCUUUGUUUGCUGGAGAAAAAUGAGAGAAAAAAAAUGGGG